UACGGAGGGGGCUAGCGUUGUUCAGAAUUACUGGGCGUAAAGCGCACGUAGGCGGCUUUGUAAGUUAGAGGUGAAAGCCCAGAGCUCAACUCUGGAACUGCCUUUAAGACUGCAUCGCUUGAAUCAUGGAGAGGUUAGUGGAAUUCCGAGUGUAGAGGUGAAAUUCGUAGAUAUUCGGAAGAACACCAGUGGCGAAGGCGACUAACUGGACAUGUAUUGACGCUGAGGCGCGACAGCGUGGGGAGCAAACAGG
rnacentral:rRNA from 1 species